rnacentral:rRNA from 1 species
AUGGAUUGUAACCUCAAAACAAUUUUUUGGAAUGUUCGUGGUCUUAACUCCGGCGCUAAGCGCACCGCCGUCCGCAGCGUGAUCUCCGCUGCCGCGCCUACCAUAGUGUGUCUCCAAGAGACAAAGCUCGCUCAUGUCUCCGACGCCAUUGUCUUGGACACGCUCGGUCCGUCCUUUGAGGACUAUUUCUUCCUCCCCGCGGAUGGCACACGCGGU